GACGAACGCUGGCGGCGUGCUUAACACAUGCAAGUCGAACGGUAAGGCCCUGUCGGGGGUCCUCGAGCGGUGAACGGGGGCGUAACACGUAGGCGAUCUGCCCUUCACUUUGGGAUAAGCCUGGGAAACUGGGUCUAAUACCGGAUAGGACUACGCGAUGCAUGUCGUGUGGUGGAAAGUUAUUGCGGUUUGGGAUGGGCCCUAGGCCUAUCUGCUCGCUGGUGGAGUGAGGGCCUACCAAAGCGGCGUGGGGUAGCCGACAUGGGAGGGUGGACGGCCACACUGGGACUGCGAUACGGCCCAGACUCCAACGGGAGGCAGCAGGGGAGAAUAUUGCACAAUGGGCGCAAGCCUGAUGCAGAGGCGCCGCGUGGGGGAUGCCGGCCUUCGAGUUGUAAACCAAUUUCAACAUAGCCGAAGCGUAAGUGACGGUAGGUGCAGAAGAAGCACCGGCCAACUACGUG
rnacentral:rRNA from 1 species